rnacentral:tRNA from 1 species
GGCCGAGUGGCGGAAUGGCAGACGCUGGGGCCUUAAAAGCCCCUGCCCGCAAGGGCGUAUGGGUUCGAGUCCCAUCUCGGCCA